rnacentral:snRNA from 1 species
GUGCUUACUUUGGCAGCACAUAAACUAAAAUUGGAACAAUACAGAGAUUAGCAUGGCCCCUGUGCAAAAAUGAUAUACAAAUUCAUGAAUCAUUUUGUACUUUU